rnacentral:rRNA from 1 species
GACGAACGCUGGCGGCGUGCCUAAUACAUGCAAGUAGAACGCUGAAGAGAGGAGCUUGCUCUUCUUGGAUGAGUUGCGAACGGGUGAGUAACGCGUAGGUAACCUGCCUUGUAGCGGGGGAUAACUAUUGGAAACGAUAGCUAAUACCGCAUAACAAUGGAUGACACAUGUCAUUUAUUUGAAAGGGGCAAUUGCUCCACUACAAGAUGGACCUGCGUUGUAUUAGCUAGUAGGUGAGGUAAUGGCUCACCUAGGCGACGAUACAUAGCCGACCUGAGAGGGUGAUCGGCCACACUGGGACUGAGACACGGCCCAGACUCCUACGGGAGGCAGCAGUAGGGAAUCUUCGGCAAAGGGGGCAACCCUGACCGAGCAACGCCGCGUGAGUGAAGAAGGUUGUCGGAUCGUAAAGCUCUGUUGUAAGUCAAGAACGGGUGUGAGAGUGGAAAGUUCACACUGUGACGGUAGCUUACCAGAAAGGGACGGCUAACUACGUG